rnacentral:lncRNA from 1 species
UAGGACUACUUUGGUUAAAGUUUUGCUAAAUUAAAACACAGUGAUGCAUCAUCUUUAAUUUUACUUGAAGCGAUCAAUCCCAUCUUGACUCACACUCAGACUUUACAAGUACUUGACUGUACUUAGAAAUCUUCCAUCAUUGGAUUAAAAAUUUGGAUAGUCCAACACCAAAGCACAGUGAGUUGCUUGCAAGUCACUGAGGCAGCCUC